UUUGACAUGCACAAGAAAACUAUGAAAACUUGAAUCUAGAAACUUUUGACCUCAAAGAGCAUAAACUCUAUUACAUGGAGAACAAUAUUGAUCCCGAUAAAUAUUUCUACAAUAACAUCAACCGCACCUGUGAGUAUUACACAGAUGAACAAUUUAAAAGCAAAAUUAUAAUGGAUGGUACACUGUCAAUCAUACACUUCAACAGUAGAAGCUUGCAUAGCAACUUCUUUAAAAUAAAAGACUAUUUGAAAUUUUGUUCAAUGUUUAGUGUAAUUGCAGCAUCAGAGACUUGGCUUACAAUUGAGAAAGAAGCGGCUAUAGAACUACGGGGCUAUGAGCUAUUUUCAACUAAUAGAGAAUAUAAAAACGGAGGUGGUGUUGCACUAUUUGUGAACAACAAACUUAGGUGUAAAAAAGUAAUGGAAAUGUCAACAAAAAUGGAAAAUAUCAUGGAAUGUGUUACUGUAGAAAUAGAGGUGGAGAAAACAAAGAAUAGAUGGUUCACAUGUAUGAUAAAAGACAUAAUAACAAGAUGAUCUUUGUAUGUGGAGACUUUAAUGUAGAUUUGUUAAAAUUGAAGGAGCACAAACCUAGCAGUGAUUUUAUCGACACAAUGUAAAGUAUAGGUCUAUUACCUACAAUCUUAAGGCCAACAAGAAUAACAAAGGACAGUGCAACUUUAAUUGACAACAUCUUUACCAAUGAAAUUGGAAAUGGAGUACUAAGUGGAUUGCUUAUAUGCAAAAUUUCUCAAAGGAAAAUACACAGAGAAACUCCAAAAUUGCUAAGAUGAUUCAGAAAAAAACACCUGACACCACUUGAGGAGGGGUUAAGGCAGCAAACCUGGACAGAUGUCUAUUUAAAUCAUGACCCAAAUAAAGCCUAUGAUGAAUUCAUGUCAAUAUUUUCCAAAUUGCCCUUUACAGCAACUAAGGACAAAUAAAUAUGAAGAUAAACCCUGGAUCACUAGGGGGCUAGAAAAUGCUUGUAAAAAGAAAAAUGUAUUGUACAAUCAGUUUCUACAAAUUAGAACAAAGGAAGCAGAAACCAAAUAUAAGAAAUAUAAAAAUAAAUUGACUAGUAUAUUGAGAACUAAUAAAAAUGAUUACUUCAACAAACAAUUAGUACAGUAUAGAAACGACGCGGGGAACAUGGAAGGUGCUAAACAACGUAAUCUAAAAAGGUACUGGGAAAUCAGAUUACCCUGAAUAUUUUAAUAAAAACAACCAAUCAGUGAUAACUGACACAAAGGAAACUGCUAACUGUAUGUACACACCGCCGCCGACUUGAGCUUCUAAAGUUACAGGAAGUCAUUCAUUUUCAACGGAAGCUUCUCUCUGAAACUGAGAACGCUCGAGCUCCCCUAUUUUUGAGCCGCGUUCUAGGGACAACAAGGAGGAGCUGGUCAGCAGACCUUAACGACCUCAGAGAAGCUGGUCAGCAGACCUAAAUGACCUCAGAGGAGCUGGUCAGCAGACCUUAAUGACCUCAGAGUAGCUGGUCAGCAGAACUUAAUGACCUCAGAGGAGCUGGUCAGCAGAACUUAAUGACCUCAGAGGAGCUGGUCAGCAGACCUUAAUGACCUCAGAGUAGCUGGUCAGCAGAACUUAAUGACCUCAGAGGAGCUGGUCAGCAGACCUUAACGACCUCAGAGGAGCUGGUCAGCAGACCUUAACGACCUCAGAGAAGCUGGUCAGCAGAACUUAAUGACCUCAGAGGAGCUGGUCAGCAGACCUUAAUGACCUCAGAGGAGCUGGUCAGCAGAACUUAAUGACCUCAGAGGAGCUGGUCAGCAGACCUUAAUGACCUCAGAGUAGCUGGUCAGCAGAACUUAAUGACCUCAGAGGAGCUGGUCAGCAGACCUUAAUGACCUCAGAGUAGCUGGUCAGCAGAACUUAACGACCUCAGAGUAGCUGGUGAGCAGAAGUUAAUGACCUCAUAGGAGCUGGUCAGCUGACCUUAAUGACCUCAGAGUAGCUGGUUAGCAGACCUUAACGACCUCAGAGGAGUUGGUCAGCUGACCUUAAUGACCUCAGAGUAGCUGGUUAGCAGACCUUAACGACCUCAGAGGAGUUGGUCAGCUGACCUUAAUGACCUCAGAGUAGCUGGUUAGCUGACCUUAACGACCUCAGAGGAGUGUGCGGCUUUAAUAGUUCAGCGAUAUAAGCUGUGGCUUGACCAUAAAGAGAUUUAAAAACAAACAACAGAAUCUUAAAAUGUAUUCUAAAGCAAACCGGUAACCAAUGAAGGGAGGCAAGAACAGGUGUAAUGUGAUCUUGUUUAUGAGUUCCGGUAAGGAGCCGAGCUGCAGCAUUUUGAACCAUUUAUAAUCUUGAGAGCGAGGCCUGGUUAAUACCUACAUAUAAAGCAUUACAGUAAUCCAGGCGAGUUGUAAUAUGUCCAAUUAAACAACUGCAAGUCAGAUUUAUUGAAGGUUACAUGUGGGGUCCCACAAGGAUCAGUUCUGGGUCCUAAAUUGAUUCUAUUGUACAUAAAUGACAUUUGUUAAUGUGUCUAAAAUAUUAAAUUUGGUUUUGUUUGCUGAUGACACCAACUUGUUCUGUUCUGGCAAAAACCUUGAGUAGCUUUUGGAUACAGUGGAAACUGAACUUGAUUCUUUAAAACAAUGGUUUAAUCUUAACAAGCUGUCUUUGAACAUAAAUAAAACUAAAUACAUAAUAUCGGAAUUUUAAGAAGCCUAGACAUAUUACGACAAUAAUUGAAAUAGAAAGAGUAUAUGAUAACACAUUUCUGGGAGUUGUCAUAGAUCACAAAUUAUGCUGGAAACCACAUGUUAAUCAUAUUAAAACUAAAAUAUCAAAGUCCAUAGCUAUUCUGAACAAAACCAAAUAUAUUCUUAAUACUAAUUCUUUACAUGUAUUAUAUCAAUCCCUCAUACUAUGUAACUUAUGGUGUGGGAAAACAUAUAAAACAAUUACAAAUUCAAUCUUCUUACUGCAAAAGAGAGCAAUCAGAAUUAUAAAUAGGGCAAAUUAUUGUGAAUCGACAAAUCAGUUAUUCGUAAAUUUACAGGUAUUUAAAUUUAGUGAACUUGUAGACCUUAAAAUAGCAUCUCUAAUGUACAAAGUAUUUAAUAGCAUGUUGCCAGACUGUAUCCAGAGGCUGUUUCAAAUAAGAGAAUGCCAUUAUGAACUGAGGGGAAGCUGUAUUUUUACUAGACCAAAUAGCAG